rfam:Camelus ferus unplaced genomic scaffold scaffold552, whole genome shotgun sequence.
GUAGCUAUAGCUCAGUGGUAUAGUGCAUGCCUAGCAUGCAUGACAUCCUGGGUUCAAUCCCCAGUACCUCCA